AGCAGAAUUAACAAGUAGAUCUAUGACCCUAUGAAAGCGAGUUGCCCAGUACUGUUUUAGAAGUGAAGUGGAUUUUGAUUAAGGAGGUUAUACUCUCAGGAUAGAAAUGCUGUGAUUAUGGUUUGUUCAUUCUCUUUUUUCUUUUCCCACAAAAGAAAGACAUGAAGUUAUCAGAAAAUUACGUAUAUUCUAUUUGAGAGAAAGUCUCAGAAAGUUCAAUUAAUAUCAUCUAUUUAAUAAUGAAUCUAAAAGCCAAGGGCUGCCUGUAGCUAAGAUAAGGACUCAGAAUCAGAACACCAGAAUGAGUUUGAAGCAAAUCCUGUUCUUUACUAGCUGUGCGGCUACAGAAAAGUCAUUUAAUUCCUACGAAUCUGAAGUUAGUCAUUUCUAAAAUGGGGAGGUUCAUAGUAAUUACCACACAGGAUUGUUGUGAGGCAAAUGAUACAUAAAAUGUAAAUUAUUAUUGAAAAUGCUAGAAAACCUCCUAGCAGCAGAGAAAAGCUGCUGAUAGGAAUUUCUCUGCCAAGUUGGUUUCAAAUUCCAAAGCUAGAACAGUUAUAACUUUGAAGUGUAAUCAGGGUAAGUUAGAAAGAAGCAUUGUCACUGAAGUCUGGGAAUGGAGUAGUGCUGAAUUAAGUAGUGAAUUAAAAAGUUAAAGAUUAAUGAGAAAGCUUCAGAUUGUACCUAGAUAUUUAUUUCCUUAAUUUUUUUCUUUUGCUGUUUAAUGUUUACUGCUUUUUAUUAUUUUAACAAAGGGGUGUGUGUGUGUGUGUGUGUGUGUGUGUGUGUGUGUAUGAAUCUUUUUAAAAACAGUGGAGGAUAAGGAUCUCAGAUCAUACGUUUGUGGUUCUGUAUGGAUGGAGGUCCCUCCUGCCACUUGGUGGCAGCAUAUUCUAAUUGCAUGGACAACAGACACUAGCUAUCUAGAUUCAAUUUUAAAUUUAAAAAUAAAUGAUCAGCAUUACUAUCAAGCACAUAUUAAAUAUAUGUUGUGUACUGAACACUAUAAGGCAUGGUCUCUCCCAUUAGGAAGUAACAAUUUAGUUAAUUAAAUCUAGGAUGUAUAUGUAUAUAUGUAUGUGUAUUGUAUGUGUGUGUGUAUACAUAUAUGUUGCAUGUGUGUAUACAUGUGUACAUAUAUGUAUUGUAUCUAUCAAUGAAUACAUAAUGUAUGUUGAUACAAUGAAUAGAGUGCUAGGUUUAUAGUUAGGAUGAUCUGAAUUCAAAUCCAGUCUAAAUAUUUACUAGCUGUGUGAACCUGGACAAGUCCCUUAACUGUGUUUGCUUUAGUUUCUCAUCUGUAAAAUAAUCUAUAGAAGAAAAUGGCAAACCAUUCCAGUAUCUUUGCCCAGAAAAUCCCAAAUGGAAACACGAAGAAUCACACACAUACCUGAAAAUGACUGAAUUACAAUAAGUAUGUGUAUCUCAACAUGCACACAUACGUGUAUACAUACAUUAUAUAUAGGUGUAUAUAAAACCUAUAGGUAAUAAAUUUACAAUUCAAAUGAACACAGACAAAAUGUUAAAAUCACAUUAGUAAGUGCUAUUGAAAUUCAGAGUAGAAAGCGAUAUUAGACCGAGACAAUAAAAGAAAAUUUUAUAGAGGAAAUAAGAUUUGAGAUGACUAGAAGUGAAAGGAUUUAGGGAAAUCAAUAAAUGAGUAUUUAUUAUAUGUGCCAGGUAGUCACUGUACUUGGUGCUGGUGAUACAAAGACAAAAGUGAAAAGUCCCUACCUUCAAGGAGCUUACAGUCUUAAACCAAAGGAGAUAGCAUGUACAUAAAUAGGUCUGUACAUAAAAAAAAAACAAAAAAAAAAUAGGUCUGUACAACAGUAAUCAAUGUACAAAGAUUUAUUAAGUGCUUACUGUAGGCUAGUCACUCUGCUAGAUGAAGAGGAUAUUGUGACAAUAAGAUGCUUACCUUACAAUAGGAGAGGAGAUGAAAGAUAGAGAAUAAACACACAAAAUAUUUUAAGUAUUAAACAUAAGACAGUUCAAGAACAAGGGCUCUAGCAGUUGGAGGGAUCAUGAGAGAUUUUAUAUAGAAGGUGGUAUUGAAUUAAGCCUUAAAGGAAAAGGGAUUCUCUAAACUGAAGUUAAAUGGGGGAGUGUAUUACAGGGAUGGGGAAACAGCCAGUUAUGGAGAAGGCUGAUGGAAUGUUUUAUGAAAGAAAGAGGGAAGAGGAGUAGGGCUGGAUUGUAGGGUGUGGGAACGAGUGUAAGACACAGUAGGGCUCAAAAGAUAAGUCCGGGUUGUAAAGGACUUUAAAAACUAAAUAUCUUAGUGGCAACCGUAGGUCACUGGAGUUAAAUGAAUAGAAAAGUAAUUAUUAGAUUUGAAUUUUAGGAAAAUCACUUUAGCAAAUACAAAAUAGUUCCUAAUAAUUUCCUUUUUGUCUUCAUUUGUCAUGAAUUACCUCUUACAUUUUUUAUUAUUGAUAAUUACGUUUUCCUCUUUAAAAAUCACACCAGCUACUACUUUUGACAUUUUAUUUUUAUAAGUCCUUAGUUUAUCAGUUCAAUAAUUUUUUAAUUGCAUUUAAAUUGCAUUAAUUUCCUAUGAUUUUCAGAAUGUCUAUUCUGGUGUUUAAAUGGUAUUUACUAAUCUGUUUUCUAGGUCUUUAAUUUGCUUGACUAAUGCAUCAAUCUGUUCUUUUUGUAUUUUGCUAAUGAAAUGUUUAGAGAUUAAUUUUUUCCUUAGGAUAAUUAGGAAGAAGUUGCAGUUAUCAACAAGGCCAGAGGUAAUGAGAGCCCAAACUAAGGUGAUAGUUGUGUUGGUAGAGAAAAAGCAUUAGAAACACAAGAAGAAAUAGGCAUAGUAUAAAAAAGACACUAUCUCUAUUAUAUACAGGGUACAGAUAGUGUCUGUCCCAUACACACACACACACACACAUACCUAUUGUGUAUUGUGCCUAAUAGUAGCCAUCUCUAGGGUGGGAAGAGGGAACAAAAAAAAAAAUAAAAAAGAAAUUUACAUGUUAUCUUUAUUAUAUAUGUAAAAGGAAUGGCAAGUUGUACAAAAUAGAUUGGUAGUUUCACAUGUAAUCAUAUUUUUAUUAUACCAUGUUAUGGAAAUGCUUUAUUCCACAAAUACAAACAAACAAACAAAUAAAUACUAUCCAAAAAAAGAAAAGGGGGAAAUAGGCAUAAGUUAAUGAAUAGUUGUAAUCAGUUUUACCUUAUUAGGUUGGGAAUUAAAAACUGAAUGUUGUAAUCAGGCGAGAGAAAGAGAAAGAGAGAGAGAGAGAGAGAGAGAGAGAGAGAAGGAAGGAAAGAAGCAAGGAAGGAAGGAAGGAAGGAAGGAGAAAGAAAGGGAAAGAAACAGAGAAAGAAAGAAAGUGAAAAAAAGGAGAAAGAAAGAAAGAAAGAAGGAAGGAAGGAAGGAAGGAAGGAAGGAAGGAAGGAAGGAAGGAAGGAAAGAAGGAAGGAAGAAAGGAAGGAAAGAAAAAAAGAAGGAAGGAAGGAAAGAAAGAAAGAGAAAGAGAGAAAGAAAGGGAGAGAAACAGAGAAAGAAAGAAAGUGAAAAAGAAAGAAAGAAAGAAAAGGAGGGAGGGAAGGAGGGAGAGAGGAAGGAAGGAAAGGAGAGAGGAAGGAAGGAAGGAAGGAAGGAAGGAGAGAGAGAAGAAGGGAGAGAGUAUGGGAAGGACAGAGGGAGGGAAGAAGGAAGGAAGGAAGGAAGGAAGGAAGGAGAAAGAGAGAAAGGGAGAGAAACAGAGAAAGAAAGAAAGAAAGAAAGAAAGAAAGAAAGAAAGAAAGAAAGAAAGAAAGAAAGAAAGAAAGAAAGAAGGAAGGAAGGAAGGAAGGAAAGAAGGAAGGAAGGAAGGAAAGAAGGAAGGAAGAAAGGAAGGAAAGAAAAAAAGAAGGAAGGAAAGAAAGGGAGAGAAACAGAGAAAGAAAGAAAGUGAAAAAGAAAGAAAGAAAGGAGGGAGGGAAGGAGGGAGAGAGGAAGGAAGGAAAGGAGAGAGGAAGGAAGGAAGGAGAGAGAGAAGAAGGGAGAGAGUAUGGGAAGAACAGAGGGAGGGAAGAAGGAAGGAAGGAAGGAAGGAAGGAAGGAAGGAAGGAAGGAAGGAAGGAAGGAAGGAAGGAGAAAGAGAGAAAGGGAGAGAAACAGAGAAAGAAAGAAAGAAAGAAAGAAAGAAAGAAAGAAAGAAAGAAAGAAAGAAAGAAAGAAGGAAG
ensembl:lncRNA